rnacentral:misc_RNA from 1 species
AAGACAAAAUUUGAAAAUUAGCAGCAGGGAGUAUAGAAAAAAAAUCGGGAUUUUCCGCAUAAAUAUAAACUUUUGAUAUAUCAUUGUAACAAAAAGAUUGAACUAAACUAUGCCACCGAUAAGAAGAUCAACAAAGAGAAAAGCUACAGUGCAGGCGAACACAGGCAAGCACAAAGCACGGAAAACUCCGCAAGUUCAGCAAGGUCAAGCCAGCCAGCCAAGUACCUCAGCGGUAACCAGCGAUGAGAUGUCAACGGGGGCGCACACUCAUAGUGAAUUUAGAGCAGAUACCGGAGCGGUGGGUAACGUAACAAAUCAUAGCAAAGGUAAUAUUCCAAGUAUCGAUUUUAAUACAAUACUUUCGGGAAAUACUGAACAGGCGUCAUUAAACGUCGAAUGUGAACCGCGCGCCAUUCACUCAGUAGAUGACGGGGUGGGAGACCACGUCCGUCGCAAUAUCCGAGAUAAGAUUAGUCGUGACGAAUAUGUUAAUUUCGCCACACUUUUGCAUGACACAGGGGUAAAUACAGAUGGGGGCCCUUUGCCACUAGUAAUUCUCAAUUCCGGCCAAUUGGGCAUUGGCACAAAAACACAAAAAAGGUCAGUUGAUGACAUAAAUAUGUGGACUGACGCAUUUAAUGUAUUCAUGUCUGUCUACAUAGAAGAACACCCACAAAUUACAACAGUAUUACAAUUGCUUAAAUAUAUGCACACCAUACGGUGGGCAGCUGCAAAAUGUGGCGGUCUUGCAUGGCGCGAGUACGAUGAACAAUUCCGUUUAAAAAAGUUAAAAAAUCCACAAAUAUCAUGGGCAACUAUUGAUCCUAACCUCUGGCUUUUGAUAAUGAUCCCCCAAAUGAAACAAGGGCCCAUGCAAAAUUGGUCAGAUGCAAAAACCGGGUAUAGGCUGAACACACAAUUUGCUCGCACCAGCAAGGGAUCGGGGGCAUGUUUUGAUUACAACAUGAAUAAGUGCAACCGAACAUAUUGUCGUUUUCGUCACCAUUGCCAGUCUUGUGGAGGAGCACAUCCAAAAAUAGAAUGUCAUUCCUUUCGUACAACAAAAAAUGCAAAUAACCCAAAUCAAAACGCACGAAAUAUUCAAAUUAGCAAAAACACCAAUAGAUUUAAAUGAAUUAACAAAAGUGUUAAAAACAUAUCCCAAUUAUUCGGUCGCUCAGGAAUUGUUGUCAGGUUUUAAAUAUGGUUUCAAGUUGCAUUACGAGGGUCCACGUAUGCCAAGGGAGGCAAUUAAUCAGAAAUCAGCACUAGAUAAUCCAGAAAUUAUACAACAAAAAAUACUUAAAGAAGUACAGCUGGGUCGAAUUUUUGGACCUGUUCCCUUCCGGCCUAUUUCUACGUUUCGAGUAUCGCCUAUUGGUUUGGUCCCCAAACAAACUCCAGGGGAAUUUCGUUUGAUUCACCAUUUAUCCUAUCCAGCCGACCAUGCCCUUAAUGAUUUUAUAAACCCAUCAUUAUGCUCAGUUUCAUAUUCAAGUAUUGAUAAAGCUAUUAGAAUGAUUCAAACUUUGGGCAUUGGUUGUGAGCUUGCAAAGUCUGACUUACAGUCUGCCUUUCGUAUGAUUCCCAUUUAUCCCGGCGAUUUCGAUCAGCUAGGUUUUAAAUUUGAUGGUCAGUACUAUAUUGAUAAAUCACUGCCAUUUGAUUGUAGUAUAUCUUGUGCAGUAUUUGGAAAAUUUUCCACGUUUUUGGAAUGGAUUACAAGAUCGGAAUCAGGUAAUGAGAACAUUCAGCAUUAUUUAGAUGAUUUUUUAUUCAUUGGAAGAACACAUUCAAAUGUUUGUUCAAAAACCCUUUCCACAUUUCAGUCUAUCUAUAAACAAUUGGGCGUGCCUAUAGCACAUGAUAAAACCGAAGGCCCGUCCACAAAAUUGUCAUUUCUGAGCUUAGAAAUCGAUACAAUGGAGAUGGUUAUUAGACUACCUGCUAAAAAAUUAAAUGAGAUUGUUGCAAAAUCAGAGUUUGUAUUAGGACGGAAAAAAGUAACUCUGAAACAAAUGCAAUCACUGAUAGGUUCACUAAACUUUGCAUGUAGGGCCAUUAGACCAGGACGGGCAUUUUGUCGACGCCUAAAUGACAGUAUCUGCAAGGUCAAUAAACCACAUCACUUGAUUAAAAUCACAAAAGGUAUUAAAAAAUGACAUUAAAGUUUGGUUAGAAUUUUUUAAGCAUUACAACGGGGUGUCUGUCUUUCAAGACCAAUAUUGGGCAUAUGGUUCAGAUAUCCAGUUGUUUACUGACGCUGCAGGAGGCGUUAAUGGGGGAUUCGGUGCUUAUCUCAAUGGAAUAUGGACAUUUGGCUGCUGGCCAGGGUUUUGGUUAAAAGUGGGGGUUCUGACAAAUAUGACAUUCUUAGAACUGUUUCCUAUUGUAGCAGCCUUUUUCAUGUGGGGCCAUUUGCUUAAAAACAAAAAAGUUAUAGUACAAUGCGAUAAUCAAGCUGUAGUGCAUGCUAUAAAUAAACAAUCUGCUAAACCCAUAUGUGUUAUGGAUCUCAUGCGCUACUUGGUGUUAAAUUUGUUAACAUUUAAUAUACCGGUAAAAGCUGAAUAUAUACAAUCAUCAAAAAACAAAAUAGCAGAUAGCCUUUCCCGUUUUCAGUUCUCAAAGUUCCACAACCUGGCACCAAAGGCAAAUCCGGAACCAGAUACAGUGCCACAAGAAGUUUGGAAAAUCUUCAGAGGGAAUGCAACAAACUGAUUUCAGCAUCAGUUUCAGAAAGUACACGCAAACUGUACAAAAAAGCAUGGGUUUCAUUUGAUAGGUUCAGAUGUGAACAUAAGUUCCCAUUAAUUUUCCCAGUACCCGCUGACCAUGUUAAAAACUAUAUUGCAUACAUGUCAUUACAGAAAUAUUCUGCCUCAACUGUCUCCUCGUACUUAGCAGGUAUUAGUUUCUACCAUCAGAUGCAGGGCGUUCAGGAUCCUACUCAUACUUUUAUUUCCAAGAAAAUGAUUGAAGGAAUGCGCAGGUCAAGGCCACUUAGGGACAACCGGUCACGCAUUACGGUAUCUAUAUUAAGAAGUUUACCCAGAGCCCUAACUCGUGUAUGCUCGUCCCCUUAUGAAACCGAGUUAUUCACCACAGCAUUUCUUAUAGCAUUCUUUGGCCUUUUUCGUGUUGGGGAAGUAGCUGUAAACUCACUUAAAUCUCCUUCUAAUCAUGCAAUUCUGUUGCAGGAUGUCACAGUUAUAGAUGGGGGUCCCCUUAAAAUAAUAUUAAGAUCAUCAACAAAAUAACCAACAGGGCAGGCCAACACCAAUAACAAUCGAUCCCAUCUCAGAUAACACAAUAUGCCCUGUUGCUACAAUCAAACGUUUCUUAAACAUCAGGGUCUCUGGAGGCAUUUAUUUGUUCUGUCAUGAAGAUACCAGCCCACUAACAAAGUACCAAUUUUCAGCAAUGCUAUAUAAAAGCCUUAAGUUCUUAGGGUUAAGUACAGCUACAUUCAAGUCGCAUAGCUUCCGUAUUGGAGCAGCCACUUUGGCUGCCAGCAAAAAUGUCUCACACGCAACAAUACAAGCAUGGGGAAGAUGGCGUUCGAAUGCAUAUAAAAAGUACAUCAGGAUUACAUCCAGUUCAUUGACUAUUUAAACGGAUUAGUUUGAAUUAAUUCAAUCGUUUCACAUGUUGACAUUCAUUGGUUUCGGGUACAUUACAAUGUAUUAUAGGCAGGCCUGAGAGUAAGGAACAAUUAAAGUAACCUAAUAUAAGUUAGCCCAAAUCGCACUUCAAGUACUCUAUUUUGGUGGUAGGUUACUAAAGUACAAAAUGAACAAUUUACAAUAAAUUAACAAUGCUUUAUAAUGAAAGUUUAGCUGCCGGUUCACUUCUUAUUCUCAGGCCUGUAUAAGUAUGACUCAUAAUUCUUGUCAAUUCUGAGCUUUCAGAUAUCUGGAUACUGGGCUCUUCGAUAGUGUACUGGGCUCAAAGAAGGGCAGUGACACGACCAGUCGGUCAACACUUGCGACUGCAGCAAUAUGGGGGUCGUAUCAGGUGGUGCGGAGUAAGAGACUGCCCAGACAGAGUUAUGUCAUGCUUAAGUCUCUUGACGAUGCAGGUCAUACUACUUGGACGACAGACAUUAAAAAAAUUAUUUUUAAACUUGGUUUUGGAUUUGUAUGGGUAAGCCAGGAUGUGGGAGACAUCAGUAGGUUUAUUAAUAUAUUUAAGCAAAGACUAUAUGAUAUUCUACAAGAAUGGGCAUCCUCUAUGAGCGGUUCGGAUUCUUGCUAUUAUUAUAACCAGUAUAAAUCUCUAUUAAAUGUUAAAUGUUAUUUACACAUGAAUAUCCCCAUGAGAUUCCAAAUUGCAUUAUCAAAAUUUAGAUGAAAUAGUUUUGGUUUAUGUGUAGAUACAGGUAGAUUUAAUAAUAUUGUAUAUGAGAAGAUUAUGCACUUUUUGUCAAGAUAAUUACUAGAUUUUUUUAUUGAAGAUCAGCUCCAUGUAUUAUUGGUAUGCAAAAAAAUAUAGUUAUUUGAGAUAUAUGUACAUUUUAUCCUUUGUGAAAGUAAAUGCUGGUCUAUCAUUAACAAUUAACUUCAUUAAUCUGAUGUCAUCUCAAAACCAAAUUUGUUUACUAAAUUUAUCAAAAUUCUUAUACUAUGUAUUUAGAUUGAGAAUAAAUGGUGAAUGUUUUUACACUGAAUAUUUAUAAAUGCACUGCCUUUCUACUAUUAUUACUAUAAUAUAAAAUUAAAUGGCAGACCGUUAUGUGACUAAAUUAUGUAACGCAUGCUCUUAAAUUGUGUAAAGUGAUUGUAUUUUGGGCCAGAUGCCUUUUACUCAAUAAACUGUAUGUCUGUCUGUCUGUCUGUGUAAAAUACACAGGGGUAAUAAUGUCGUUCGACAUUUUGUACAUCAUGCCAUUCGUCCUGUCCUCACUCAAUAAGAUAUGGUCUUUGUAGACUUUCUGGAUAUGUACUAACCAUAGGUCUGACUGCUAUAUAUAGCAGCUGAUAUAGGGACAUCUCACCUUUUACUGCAACUCUUCAUACCCGGAAUUUGUUUUGUUUAACGGCACCUCUAGAGCACAGUUUUAAUAAUCGUUGGCAAUUGCAUGUCCAACUUUUGGUAAUUUCGACAUAUAGUCUUAGAGAUACACACAUAGCACAUGCUGGAACGAGAAAUAGACCAUUGGGCCCAAAGACGGAUUGAUCCUAGAGGGAUCGCGCAUCCAGUAUGUAGUUUUGGGGUUGUUGUUUUUUUAUCUCGCUAUAAUGUUUUUUAUUGUUUUAUAAAGUCCACGUCAUCAAAUGUCAUGUAUUUAAUUCCCCCUAGGUUUUAAAGCACUAUGCAUAUUUUGAUUGU